rnacentral:rRNA from 1 species
AGUUCGGAUUGCAGCCUGCAACUCGGCUGCAUGAAGCUGGAAUCGCUAGUAAUCGCGGAUCAGAAUGCCGCGGUGAAUACGUUCCCGGGUCUUGUACACACCGCCCGUCACACCAUGGGAGUCGGAAAUGCCCGAAGCCGGUGACCCAACCCGAAAGGGAGGGAGCCGUCGAAGGCAGGUCGGAUGACUGGGGUGAAGUCGUAACAAGGUACC